rnacentral:rRNA from 1 species
GACGAACGCUGGCGGCGUGCCUAAUACAUGCAAGUAGAACGCUGAAGAGAGGAGCUUACUCUUCUUGGAUGAGUUGCGAACGGGUGAGUAACGCGUAGGUAACCUGCCUUGUAGCGGGGGAUAACUAUUGGAAACGAUAGCUAAUACCGCAUAACAAUGGAUGACACAUGUCAUUUAUUUGAAAGGGGCAAUUGCUCCACUACAAGAUGGACCUGCGUUGUAUUAGCUAGUAGGUGAGGUAAUGGCUCACCUAGGCGACGAUACAUAGCCGACCUGAGAGGGUGAUCGGCCACACUGGGACUGAGACACGGACCAGACUACUACGGGAGGCAGCAGUAGGGAAUCGUCGGCAAUGGGGGCAACCCUGACAGAGCAACGCCGCGUGAGUGAAGAAGGUUUUCGGAUCGUAAAGCUCUGUUGUAAGUCAAGAACGGGUGUGAGAGUGGAAAGUGCACACUGUGACGGUAGCUUACCAGAAAGGGACGGCUAACUACGUG